rnacentral:rRNA from 1 species
CGGGACGGGGGAGUAAUGCUUGGGAAGUCUGGCUUAUGGAGGGGGAUAACUACGGGAAACUGUAGCUAAUACCGCGUAAUAUCGAAAGAUUAAAGUGUGGGACCUUCGGGCCACAUGCCAUAGGAUGAGCCCAAGUGGGAUUAGGUAGUUGGUGAGGUAAAGGCUCACCAAGCCGACGAUCUCUAGCUGGUCUGAGAGGAUGACCAGCCACACUGGGACUGAGACACGGCCCAG